rnacentral:misc_RNA from 1 species
GGAAAAACAACAUCCAGCUUCUUAAUUUGUAAUUAUUAUUAAUAUCUGUUAAUAUCAUAUGCUUGGCCUGGCUAGAGGCCGGUUCGGUCAGGAAUUGCACUGAAAUUAGUUCGAAUCAAACCGACUUUGAACUGGAUUAUAAGGUAGCCAAUUAGGGACUCAUCUCCUGAGGCCUUGAAUCUACAUCAAUCUGAAAUCAGGAAUUCAAACUGUUGAUAUUGAACCGAACUGAAAUUAGUUAGGAACCAAAAUUGACUGAAACUAUAAUAAAUUGUUCCGAUUCCUAUUUCAAGCCUUCAACCACCAAUUUCAAUCCAAAAUCAGCGCAAACCAAAC